rnacentral:rRNA from 1 species
UACUAGAGUAGCACUCGCAUAUCAAUAAGCGGAGGAAAAGAAACUAACAAGGAUUCCCCUAGUAACGGCGAGUGAAGCGGGAAGAGCUCAAAUUUGAAAUCUUAAAGGGUUUCCCUUUACGAAUUGUAGUUUAAAGAAGUGUUUUCUGUUGAGGUUUUGGUAAAAGUUCUUUGGAAUAGGACAUCAUAGAGGGUGAGAAUCCCGUAUUUGACCUUUACUUUCAACUUUGUGAUACACUUUCAAAGAGUCGGAUUGUUUGGGAAUGCAGUCCAAAAUGGGUGGUAAAUUUCAUCUAAAGCUAAGUAUUGGCGAGAGACCGAUAGCGAACAAGUACCGUGAGGGAAAGAUGAAAAGAACUUUGAAAAGAGAGUUAAACAGUACGUGAAAUUGUCAAAAGGGAAGCGUUUGACACCAGUGUUGUUUUUCUGAAAAUCAAUUAAAGAACUGUUUAUGCUAAGUUGUUUAGACUUUAUCAGCUAACUGUUUAGUUUUGAGCUUUUCUUUAAUGCACUUUUCAGUUAACAAGUCAACAUCAAUUUCUUUUGCUGUAAAAAAGCUUGAGGAAGGUGGCUUGAGAUUCGUCUCAAGUGUUUAUAGCCUCUUGCCUAUGCAGUCGGAGAGAUUGAGGUCUGCAGCGUAGAUCCUUCGGGGCUAAAUGCAUUUGUGCUAAGUUAUAGCAUUUUAUAGACAACUUGUUGACUAUGAUUUGUCUUGUAGCUUACUCGCUUAUGUUAUUUUACCUACGCUUAGGAUGUUGAGCGCAUGUCUCUCUCU